CACCUCAACAGAAACAGCUAGAUGAAAAGAGCGAGGCUGGCUAGACUCAACGUUUAGCUCCACAUGCUUUUGCAGCUGGGCUGCCCUGCCUCACUUGGAUGCAUCAACAAAGCUUGAAGUGGCCACUCUAAUCUGGUUAAGUAUUGCCUGGUUGGGGAGAAAUUAGGCGAAUUCUUUUAACUUUUCAAACAAACAUAAUACAGUCAAACUUGCUGGAUGAGAAUCAAUUACAUGAACUGAAAAUAGUUUUGGGGGGGGGUUUUAUCAUUUCGUUUUUGGAAAUCAUCUAAUACUUCUAUUCAAUGGCAUAUGCCUGUAGUGUCACAUCGAAGCCAUAUUUCAGUCCAGUGAAAUGAAUGAAACAGAAGAGUAUCUGUUGAAACACUGCCGGAAUACAUUUCACAAAUCUUCUUCACCCGGUGGUGAUAUUGUCAUUAUCAGCAUAACUUCAAAAAUAGUUAUUCCUUGCCUAAAUCCAUAAGAUAUUGUGAGAAAUAGUGGGAUAAUUUUCAGAUAAUUGCAUAGUUUCUCAGUACAAUUGGCUGGAAUGGUGGCUGCAAACUAUUGUUCCACUUAUAUUGGUCUAUUCAAUUAAAAAAAAUUCUCUCUAAAACAUAUUUGGUUUGUUUAACAAAUUUCAUUCUGUGUAGGCUAAGAAAUGUGAUUUUCUGAAAUACAGAAGGUUUUAGGCCACCGAUAUAAACACUACAAUGGCUAAUUUAUCAAUAAGAAGGUAUAUUUCAGUGACAUCAAACAUAUUAUAUAACUUUGAUGCAAUCAUGCAAUCUGUGGAUUCUCAUUGCAAUUCUUAUUGAAUGAAUUAAUCACAUUUUCACUCAAAAACCAUUUAUGUGUCUUUAUGUAUCUCAAGAUAAGAAUAUUCAUCUAUGUACCUGUCAAACUAUAUUGUGUGUAGAUAAAUUACCCCAAAUUAAUGGCAGCAGUCUUAAUUUAAGAAAUUUUCAGUUUGAUACUAUUUCGCUGUCAACAUCUUCACUUUUAAACAGAUAAGGUUCUGAGCAAAACAGACUUCUUUUAUUAUCGACUUGCCUAACAGAUGGUUGCGAAGG